AUGGCCGAAAUUCGGCCGAAAUUCGUUUUUUUGGCCGAAAAUCAAAACACAGCCUACGAGUAUGAUGUCGUGGUGCUGUGCGCUUUGGGAGGAGCCUGCAACCACCACGCCUGCCAUGAGGGCCCCUUCCUCGUGGUAUACGUAGGCAUCAAAGUCAUGACAACGGCAAUAAGCGCCUGCGUGUACUCGUCUGACACGGGCAAAUGGAGCGCGCAGACUUCUGCGUACAUCCAGAAAAAGAGUUUGAGUUGUGUAGUCAGUACUGCCAUUGUCGGAGGUGCACUCUAUUUCCUCUGCUCUGAUUACGGUACGAAUCACCAUGAAAUUCUCAAGUACGACUGGAGCAGGCAUUGCCUAUCAGUGAUUGACAUGCCGCAUUGGGUUAAUUCUGGUCCUUCCUGCUGUCCCCUUCUUCCGGCACCGGAGGAGGGUAGGCUGGGAUUUGCCCAACUGAUAACGUACUACGGUACCCAACCGAGAGCCCUCCUCCGCAUGUGUUCGAGGGUCGUGAAUGCCGAUGGGGACGGCUCUCCUUUUGUCUUCUAUGAGAUUGAUCUCAAGUCCCUACAGACGAGGAAAUUGUAUGAAGGAAAAGGAGAAGGAAGAAUCACCCAUAAUAUCUUCCCCUUCAUGAGCUUCUACACUCCAGCAGCAAUACUUGCUUCGGUGGGAGAAACGGCGACCGUUGUUAGCAGACCAGUGCCGCGCAAAAGCAAGAGGAAGAGGAAACACAACCUGAAGGUGAUGGGCCCAGAUUGGCUGAAUAAGCCCAACUCUCUGAUCAUGCUGCUGUCCGUAUGUGAACCCGCAGUGUGCUUCCAGUGUCGUAAUCAAUUUCAUGGUUUCUGCUAUGAGCUUCAUGUGUCUUGA
rnacentral:rRNA from 1 species